CAGCAGUCGCCACGGUAAUACGAAGGGGGCUAGCGUUGCUCGGAAUGACUGGGCGUAAAGGGCGCGUAGGCGGAUUGUUUAGUUAGGCGUGAAAUUCCUGGGCUUAACCUGGGGACUGCGCUUAAUACAGGCAGUCUAGAGUGAGGAAGAGGGUUGUGGAAUUCCCAGUGUAGAGGUGAAAUUCGUAGAUAUUGGGAAGAACACCGGUGGCGAAGGCGGCGACCUGGUCCUUGACUGACGCUGAGGCGCGAAAGCGUGGGGAGCAAACAGGAUUAGAUACCCCUGUAGUCCCUGUCUCUUAUAA
rnacentral:rRNA from 1 species